GUGCGGCGAAGCGCAGCGAAGUUGUGCCUGGCGCAACUACGAAUCUUAGUGAAUUUGCCCCUAAGUUUGCAUAGGUGCAGUAACCAUAGAAACUAAUAAGAUGUUUGCAGGUAACAGAAGAAUGCUUCUUGUUCAUUGGUUGCGAUAACUAAUUGAGUCGGGGGCCCUGCUGCCAGAGGUGCUCCCCACCAGGACCCCCUCCAAACUUGCGGCCACUGCAUGCACCGCUGAAAAAUCCCCCCAUCCUGUAAGCACAAGAUAUGCUUAUUGUAGCUCCGACAUGCCCCAAGCGGGUGCGCUGGAUAUAGAUGGUUAGACCAGUAGUAAAUGUUGCACCUUUUAUUACCUAACUCCAUGCUCCAGUCUGCAACAUUUGUUCUUCCCAAUAGUUAAGCUUGCUAUACAUAUAAAUUUCGUUGCCUACAUAACAGAGGCCUAUGCAGGCCCAUCAGGAGACGAUGGUGUGGUCUGUGCCUGAUGGGAUUUUUAAACCUGCAUUUCCCCACUACCCAAACCUGCAUUAUCUAUGUAGGUUAUUCCGGAAAUUAUCCAAAAUACACAGCGUGUGUGUGAAUACUCUUUUUCGCAACCAUAAAUACAAAGCCAACUAUCUUGGGACUGUAAAAAAAAAAAAAAGAGAGAGCAAAAGAAAUAAUUCAUCACUGUGUUAGUCCUUAAUGUGUGAUUGAUUAUGCGAAAUGCGUGGAUGCUCUGCUCAGAGUUAUAAAACAGAUGUCUCUCGGCUAAACCCAGUUGAGGUUCCCAACUAAAAAAUCUCUUGUGAAAGAUUGAAGAGCUUUCUGUCCAGCUGAGAAAAACCAGGAUCCGUGUGAUGUAAGAACAUUCACAGUGUCGAAGACAAGAUCCAGCAUACACAUAUUUGGAAGAAAUGGCCAAAACAGCUGCACAGCCAAUGGGUCAGUCAUUCAUUCAAAUUAUAGCCUUACCUAAAAAGAAAGAAAGAAAGAAAUGUCAAAAGAAGAAAAAGCAGCAGGGCAAGGGUUAAAGAAAGGAGCAAGAACCCAACCAGAACAGCAAAACCCCAUCAGUCAAGCAAGCUAAGCUGAGUUUUUCUACGCUUGGAAAAAUCUAUUCAUCAACGUUAUCCAAAAAUAUGUGGUUUUCUGGCCAUGCGGUUACUGUGAGAUCAAUCUCAUUCAGCCGAUCAAUAAAACUCACUUUUCCAAUCUUA